rnacentral:snoRNA from 1 species
UCAGCAUCUUGACAGGUCGUGGCCGCAGGGCAGUGGGCCAGGAUUUGGUAGCUGGUGCUGAGAGGAAAAGUCUCCCCCUGCAACUCACUG